AUUCGGCAAGCCACAAACUAAUCAUGAAAUUGCCAAUAAGAUAGUGCGUACAUUGAAGAGGCAUCUUCCUUUCUCCAGUCAAGAGGGAUUGCAUGAACUCAAGAAAAUUGCUGUGGGGUUUGUGGAGAAUAUUUAUACUGCUACUACUAGCCAAGUACAUUUGAAGUCCUGAUCAUCUAUAGUACAUUUGGAUUAUCUACAAAGAAUUUCUCUGAAGAUGCUCCCUAUGGAGACCAAGUCUCAGAACACUAUGGCCAAUUCUUUAUAAAACAACUCUGCUGACAAGUAACCCUGCUGGGACUGCCAACCAACUAAAAGUGGUUGCUGUGGCUGAAAUUGAAAGAUCAAGUGUCGAUGAGACAACAUCUCGGAGCUGCAAACUAUAAACUUCGACUUGAUUAUGAUAAGUACUGAAAAUUGGAAG